rnacentral:rRNA from 1 species
CCUACGGGAGGCAGCAGUGAGGAAUAUUGGUCAAUGGGCGCGAGCCUGAACCAGCCAAGUAGCGUGAAGGAUGACUGCCCUACGGGUUGUAAACUUCUUUUAUAAAGGAAUCAAGUGAGGCACGUGUGCCUUUUUGUAUGUACUUUAUGACUAAGUAUCGGCUAACUCCGUGCCAGCAGCCGCGGUAAUACGGAGGAUCCGAGCGUUAUCAGGAUUUAUUGGGUUUAAAGGGAGCGUAGAUGGGUUGUUAAGUCAGUUGUGAAAGUUUGCGGCUCAACCGUAAAAUUGCAAUUGAUACUGGCAGCCUUGAGUACAGUUGAGGUAGGCGGAAUUGGUGGUGUAGCGGUGAAAUGCUUAGAUAUCACGAAGAACUCCGAUUGCGAAGGCAGCUUACUAAACUGCCACUGACAUUGAUGCUCGAAAGUGUGGGUAUCAAACAGGAUUAGAUACCCUAGUAGUC